rnacentral:rRNA from 1 species
GACGAACGCUGGCGGCGUGCUUAACACAUGCAAGUCGAACGGAAAGGCCCUGCUUUUGUGGGGUGCUCGAGUGGCGAACGGGUGAGUAACACGUGAGUAACCUGCCCUUGACUUUGGGAUAACUUCAGGAAACUGGGGCUAAAACCGGAUAGGAGCUCCUGCUGCAUGGUGGGGGUUGGAAAGUUUCGGCGGUUGGGGAUGGACUCGCGGCUUAUCAGCUUGUUGGUGGGGUAGUGGCUUACCAAGGCUUUGACGGGUAGCCGGCCUGAGAGGGUGACCGGCCACAUUGGGACUGAGAUACGGCCCAGACUCCUACGGGAGGCAGCAGUGGGGAAUAUUGCACAAUGGGCGGAAGCCUGAUGCAGCAACGCCGCGUGCGGGAUGACGGCCUUCGGGUUGUAAACCGCUUUCGCCUGUGACGAAGCGUGAGUGACGGUAAUGGGUAAAGAAGCACCGGCUAACUACGUG